rnacentral:misc_RNA from 1 species
UCUCCGUAGGUGAACUUGCGGAGGGAUCAUUACAGAGUUCAUGCCCUACCGGGUAGAUCUCCCACCCUAUGUUAUUAUUACUUUGUUGCUUUGGCGGGCCGUUAGGCUCCGGCCCGACUACCGGCCCCGGCUGGUAAGCGCCCGCCAGAGGACCCAAAACCCUGAAUAUUAGUGUCGUCUGAGUACUAUAUAAUAGUUAAAACUUUCAACAACGGAUCUCUUGGUUCUGACAUCGAUGAAGAACGCAGC